rnacentral:rRNA from 1 species
CGUGUAGGUGGAUCGUUAAGUCGGGGUGAAAUCCCGGGGCUCAACCCCGGAACUGCCUUCGAUACUGGCGAUCUUGAGGGUGAGAGAGGCGAGUGGAAUUUCGAGUGUAGCAGUGAAAUGCGUAGAUAUUCGAAGGAACACCAGUGGCGAAGGCGACUCGCUGGCUCACUACUGACACUGAGAUGCGAAAGCGUGGGAACAAACA